AUGAUAGAGCCAGAUAAAUUGUAUGCUGAAUUAUGUGUUUGCAACAUGCAUGAUGUUGUUCGCUCAUUUGCUCAGUAUAUGACUAAAGAUGAAGCACUCAUAGCUCAAGACGGAGAUAAUGAUAUUCUUGGUAAACUUGGUUCACAAAAGUUUCUUCGGUUGUCCAUAGAAACUAACCGAUCACAAUCAGGUGAACUUGAUUGGAAAUCUCUACACGCGCAGCAAUCAUUGAGAACAUUGAUCUCAACUGUCCAGAUUAAGAUGAUGCCUGGUGAUUCAUUGGUUACCUUUUCUAGUUUGCGGACUCUGCAUAUAGAAUCUGCAUAUAUGGCUGUAUUGGUUGAAUCAUUGUAUCAACUCAAGCACCUGAGGUAUCUUGCACUAGUAAAUGCUGAUAUAUCUGUACUUCCAGAGAACAUUGGCAAGAUGAAACUGUUGCAAUUCCUUGUCCUUGUUGGAUGUAUAAAAUUGGUGAAUCUUCCUGAUAGCAUUGUGAAGCUUGGCCAGCUGAGGUUACUUUCACUUCCGGGAGCAAGUAUGGUACCUAGAGGGUUCAGUGGUCUGACAAAUAUGAGGAGACUACAUACAUUUCGAGCCCACAUGGAUGGUGAUUGGUGCAGUUUGGAUGAGUUGGGGCCUCUUUCCCAACUCAGAGUUCUUGAAUUAACUGAAUUAGAGAAUGUAUCUGCUGCCUCAUUUGCUGCUAAUGCUAGGCUCAGUGAGAAGAUGCAUCUUAUCAAGCUAUUACUGGACUGCACCAGCAAACUUGGAGAUGAUGGGUUGGUCAAAGAGAAGGAAGGUGUCUCUGAGGAAGAGCAGCAACGAAUUGAGAAGGUUCUCGAUAAGCUCUGUCCUCCACAUGGUGUAGAAUUUCUUGCAGUCAAUGGGUAUUUUGGCCGGCAACUCCCGAGCUGGAUGAUGUCCACAUCAAUGGUGUCCCUCAAACACUUGAAGACUAUAUUUUUUCAUGAUCUGGCUUGUUGCACACAACUUCCCAAUGGGUUGUGCCAGCUCCCCAAUCUGCAAUUUCUACAGGUCUCUCGUGCUCCAUGCAUCAAACAUGUUGGGACUGGAUUCGUGCAGGCAGCAGCAGCUUCAUUUCCAAGGUUAAAUGUAUUGAAGUUGAACGGCAUGGUGGAAUGGGAGGAGUGGGAAUGGGAGGAGCAAGUAAAAGCCAUGCCCCGUUUGGAGGAGCUUGUGCUCUUUAAUUGCAGACUAAGGCAUAUUCCUCCAGGCCUUGCCUCCAAUGCAAGCUCUUUGAAAAUAUUACGUCUACUAUAUGUCAAGCAGCUCAGCUACAUUGAGAGCUUUUCUUCUGUUGUUGAGCUUGUAGUGAUUGGCUGCCCUGACCUGGAGAGGAUCACCAAUCUCCCAAAUCUGCAGAAGCUUAACAUCAUUAGCUGCCCGAAGUUGAAGGUGCUGGAGUGUAUCGCUUCACUCGAGAGGCUGCUCCUGGAGGAUUACAACAUGGAAAAACUCCCAGAAUACAUGCGAGACAUAAAGCCAAGUCAUCUGCAGUUAUCCGGCAGGAUAUGGUUGCUCUCUGCGGUAGCCUCGGGACAAUCUGGCACUGAGUGGGACAAGUUCAGCCAAGUGGAUCAUGUCAAGGCAUAUGCACGUGAUGGAGCUAACCAAAGAAAAUGA
rnacentral:rRNA from 1 species